GAUGAACGCUGGCGGCGUGCUUAACACAUGCAAGUCGAACGGAAAGGCUCCUGCUUGCAGGGGUACUCGAGUGGCGAACGGGUGAGUAACACGUGGGUGAUCUGCCCUGCACUUCGGGAUAAGCCUGGGAAACUGGGUCUAAUACCGGAUAGGACCACAUUUUGGAUGGUGUGGUGGAAAGUUUUUCGGUGUGGGAUGAGCUCGCGGCCUAUCAGCUUGUUGGUGGGGUAAUGGCCUACCAAGGCGUCGACGGGUAGCCGGCCUGAGAGGGUGUACGGCCACAUUGGGACUGAGAUACGGCCCAGACUCCUACGGGAGGCAGCAGUGGGGAAUAUUGCGCAAUGGGCGCAAGCCUGAUGCAGCGACGCCGCGUGGGGGAUGACGGCCUUCGGGUUGUAAACUCCUUUCGCUAGGGACGAAGCGUUUUUGUGACGGUACCUGGAGAAGAAGCACCGGCUAACUACGUG
rnacentral:rRNA from 1 species